GAUGAAGAACGCAGCGAACUGCGAUAAGUAAUGCGAAUUGCAGAAUUCAGUGAAUCAUCGAGUCUUUGAACGCACAUUGCGCCCCCUGGCAUUCCGGGGGGCAUGCCUGUCCGAGCGUCAUUACAGCCCAUCAAGCGCGGCUUGUGUGUUGGGUCCUCGUCCCUCCCGGGGGACGGGCCCGAAAGGCAGCGGCGGUACCGUCCGGUCCUCGAGCGUAUGGGGCUUUGUCACCCGCUCGAUUAGGGCCCGGUCGGCGCCAGCCGUCAACCCCCAAUUUUUUUUUAUUCAGGUUGACCUCGGAUCAGGUAGGGAUACCCGCUGAACUUAAGCAUAUCAAUAAGCGGAGGA
rnacentral:misc_RNA from 1 species